UGAUGAAUCUGCUUGAAGAAAAGGAUAACAUGGAGACCUGGGAGAGUGGGAAUAUAGCUUACCUCUAGACCAACAGAGGUGCCCACGUUGAUGGCUUUGAUCUCCACUGCAGACAGCGUUCUGCUCCAUCUCAAAAGAGGUUGCCGUGUGUGCCCCAUUAGCUGGCCUUUGGAAUAAACUUGCAACAGACCUCACAGCUAGAAUUCCACCACUGACCAUUCACAAAGAGGUGCUGGGACUGCAGUCAUGAGUAGUGAAACAAGAUCUUCACUCCGGAGGAGGAGACACUCUGGCCUGGAGGUACCAUAAACAAGAAUGCAAAUAAUGCAAGGGCUGUGGAUGAAACCAAGGCAAGAACUAGAAUGACCAGCUUGUAUCGGAAGGGCUGUGCAGGACAGGGUGGCCGGAGAUGGCCUUUCUCAGGAGAUGCCACGUACGCUGGUGUCUGACGACGGAAAGGGCCCCUGAGUGAGCUUGGGGAGUAGCCACUAGCAGCAGUGCAGGGGCCAGGCCCUCCGUGAGCUGGGGUCCAGGCCCUAGUGUGCUUCUGUGUGCAUGCUAAGUUGCUUCAGUUGUGUCCAAC